GACCCGAUGGUCUAAUGGUUAAGACGCUCAAUUUACUGGCCAGUAAAAUGAGAGGUGCGCGUUCGAGUCGUGCAAGGGUCA